rnacentral:tRNA from 1 species
CGAGCAGUAGUUCAGUUGGAAGAACGCCGCGUUUUGGACGCGGAGGCCGUGUGUUCAAGUCACAUCUACUCGACCA